ACGUGUGCGUGCUAACAUACGUCCUAUUUGCGUUUACAAGAGGCUUCAGAUGAGGACCAGACGAUCCUGGCAGAAACAGUUUGAAGUUGUAAAGAAGAUAUUAUCUGCAUAAAAAAAAUGGCUAGAGGAAGUCGCAGUGCCAGUCGUUCCUCGGCACCAACCAGGAGGCCGCUCAACCUGUCUCCUCCCAGCCGGGCCCAUGCAUGUUUGAGGUGCGACAGUUCCUGAACUGCGCCACCACUCAGGCAGACCUCCGCUUGUGCGAGGGUUUCAAUGAGGUGCUCAAACAGUGCAAAGGCUCACACGGUGUUACAUCACUGGUUUGAUCAAGGAUGUUAGGAGUCAAAACAAGACACCGUUUUCAGAUAAACACAUCGUAGAGUAGACAGAUGUGCCACUCGGUCAUUAAAUAAACUCUAUUCAACUCUCCACUGUAACAAGAAAGCCAUUAUGUUUGUUCACUGUUGAUAUGUCACAAUGUAUGCUGUAUAAAAAAAAACUUGUCAUGUAUAUGAGGUUGUGAAAUAAAGAGCUGCUAUUUACUCUCUGCUGGA